rnacentral:rRNA from 1 species
AGAGUUUGAUCCUGGCUCAGGACGAACGCUGGCGGCACGCUUAACACAUGCAAGUCGAACGAGAGAAGAGGAGCUUGCUUUUCUGAUCUAGUGGCGGACGGGUGAGUAACACGUGAGCAAUCUGCCUUUCAGAGGGGGAUACCGAUUGGAAACGAUCGUUAAUACCGCAUAACAUAAUUGAACCGCAUGAUUUGAUUAUCAAAGAUUUAUCGCUGAAAGAUGAGCUCGCGUCUGAUUAGCUAGUUGGUAAGGUAACGGCUUACCAAGGCGACGAUCAGUAGCCGGACUGAGAGGUUGAUCGGCCACAUUGGGACUGAGACACGGCCCAGACUCCUACGGGAGGCAGCAGUGGGGAAUAUUGCACAAUGGAGGAAACUCUGAUGCAGCGAUGCCGCGUGAGGGAAGAAGGUUUUAGGAUUGUAAGCCUCUGUCUUCAGGGACGAAAAAAGACGGUACCUGAGGAGGAAGCUCCGGCUAACUACGUGCCAGCAGCCGCGGUAAUACGUAGGGAGCGAGCGUUGUCCGGAAUUACUGGGUGUAAAGGGAGCGUAGGCGGGAUCGCAAGUCAGAUGUGAAAACUAUGGGCUUAACCCAUAAACUGCAUUUGAAACUGUGGUUCUUGAGUGAAGUAGAAGUAAGCGGAAUUCCUAGUGUAGCGGUGAAAUGCGUAGAUAUUAGGAGGAACAUCAGUGGCGAAGGCGGCUUACUGGGCUUUAACUGACGCUGAGGCUCGAAAGCGUGGGGAGCAAACAGGAUUAGAUACCCUGGUAGUCCACGCCGUAAACGAUGAUUACUAGGUGUGGGGGGACUGACCCCUUCCGUGCCGCAGCAAACGCAAUAAGUAAUCCACCUGGGGAGUACGACCGCAAGGUUGAAACUCAAAGGAAUUGACGGGGGCCCGCACAAGCAGUGGAGUAUGUGGAUUAAUUCGAAGCAACGCGAAGAACCUUACCAGGUCUUGACAUCGUAUGCAUAGCUCAGAGAUGAGUGAAAUCUCUUCGGAGACAUAUAGACAGGUGGUGCAUGGUUGUCGUCAGCUCGUGUCGUGAGAUGUUGGGUUAAGUCCCGCAACGAGCGCAACCCUUACUGUUAGUUGCUACGCAAGAGCACUCUAGCAGGACUGCCGUUGACAAAACGGAGGAAGGUGGGGAUGACGUCAAAUCAUCAUGCCCCUUACGACCUGGGCCUCACACGUACUACAAUGGCUGUCAACAGAGGGAAGCAAAGCCGCGAGGUGGAGCGAACCCCUAAAAGCAGUCUUAGUUCGGAUUGUAGGCUGCAACCCGCCUACAUGAAGUCGGAAUUGCUAGUAAUCGCAGAUCAGCAUGCUGCGGUGAAUACGUUCCCGGGCCUUGUACACACCGCCCGUCACGCCAUGGGAGUCGGUAACACCCGAAGCCUGUAGUCUAACCGCAAGGAGGACGCAGUCGAAGGUGGGAUUGAUGACUGGGGUGAAGUCGUAACAAGGUA